GGAUUAGAUACCCUGGUAGUCCACGCCGUAAACGAUGUCUACUAGCCGUUGGGGGACUUGAUCUUUAGUGGCGCAGCUAACGCGAUAAGUAGACCGCCUGGGGAGUACGGCCGCAAGGUUAAAACUCAAAUGAAUUGACGGGGGCCCGCACAAGCGGUGGAGCAUGUGGUUUAAUUCGAAGCAACGCGAAGAACCUUACCAACUCUUGACAUCCAGAGAACUUAGCAGAGAUGCUUUGGUGCCUUCGGGAACUCUGAGACAGGUGCUGCAUGGCUGUCGUCAGCUCGUGCCG
rnacentral:rRNA from 1 species